rnacentral:rRNA from 1 species
GGGCGUGGCGGCCGCGGGAAUUCGAUUCAGGCCUAACACAUGCAAGUCGAACGAUGAAGCUGGAGCUUGCUCCGGUGGAUUAGUGGCGAACGGGUGAGUAACACGUGAGCAAUCUGCCCUUCACUCUGGGAUAACUGCGGGAAACUGUAGCUAAUACCGGAUACGAGACCUUGGGGCAUCCCAGGGUCUGGAAAGAAUUUCGGUGAAGGAUGAGCUCGCGGCCUAUCAGCUAGUUGGUGAGGUAAUGGCUCACCAAGGCGACGACGGGUAGCCGGCCUGAGAGGGGGGCCGGCCACACUGGGACUGAGACACGGCCCAGACUCCUACGGGAGGCAGCAGUGGGGAAUAUUGCACAAUAAGGGAAAGCCUGAUGCAGCAA